rnacentral:rRNA from 1 species
CAGGGAAACUUGUGCUAAUACCGGAUAAGCCCUUACGGGGAAAGAUUUAUCGCCGAAAGAUUGGCCCGCGUCUGAUUAGCUAGUUGGUGAGGUAAUGGCUCACCAAGGCGACGAUCAGUAGCUGGUCUGAGAGGAUGAUCAGCCACAUUGGGACUGAGACACGGCCCAAACUCCUACGGGAGGCAGCAGUGGGGAAUAUUGGACAAUGGGCGCAAGCCUGAUCCAGCCAUGCCGCGUGAGUGAUGAAGGCCCUAGGGUUGUAAAGCUCUUUUGUGCGGGAAGAUAAUGACGGUACCGCAAGAAUAAGCCCCGGCUAACUUCGUGCCAGCAGCCGCGGUAAUACGAAGGGGGCUAGCGUUGCUCGGAAUCACUGGGCGUAAAGGGUGCGUAGGCGGGUCUUUAAGUCAGGGGUGAAAUCCUGGAGCUCAACUCCAGAACUGCCUUUGAUACUGAGGAUCUUGAGUUCGGGAGAGGUGAGUGGAACUGCGAGUGUAGAGGUGAAAUUCGUAGAUAUUCGCAAGAACACCAGUGGCGAAGGCGGCUCACUGGCCCGAUACUGACGCUGAGGCACGAAAGCGUGGGGAGCAAACAGGAUUAGAUACCCUGGUAGUCCACGCCGUAAACGAUGAAUGCCACCGUUAGUGGGUUUACUCAUAGUGGCGCAGCUAACGCUUUAAGCAUUCCGCCUGGGGAGUACGGUCGCAAGAUUAAAACUCAAAGGAAUUGACGGGGGCCCGCACAAGCGGUGGAGCAUGUGGUUUAAUUCGACGCAACGCGCAGAACCUUACCAGCCCUUGACAUGUCCGACCGGUCGCAGAGAUGUGACCUUCUCUUCGGAGCCUGGAAACAGGUGCUGCAUGGCUGUCGUCAGCUCGUGUCGUGAAUGUGGUUAAGUCCCGCAACGAGCGCACCCCCGUCCUUAGUUGUACCAUUUAGUUGAGCACUCUAAGGGACUGCCGGUGAUAACCGCGAGGAAGGUGGGGAUGACGUCAAGUCCUCAUGGCCCUUACGGGUUGGGCUACACACGUGCUACAAUGGCGGUGACAAUGGGACGCUAAGGGGCAACCCUUCGCAAAUUUCAAAAAGCCGUAUCAGUUCGGAUUGGGCUCUGCAACUCGAGCCCAUGAAGUUGGAAUCGCUAGUAAUCGUGGAUCAGCACGCCACGGUGAAUACGUUCCCGGGCCUUGUACACCCCUACCGUCACACCAUGGGAGUU